rnacentral:misc_RNA from 1 species
ACUAUACGGCUUUAUUUCGCGGGAGAGUAAGUUGUUGCCAGGGUUUUUGUUUUAUACUUUAAACAUUGAUUUUAUUUUUUAUGUUUUUAGAUGUUCAUGUUUUUGAAUGUUUUAUUCAAAUAAUAUAAAAAUAAAAUAUAUAUUGACAUGGAUUAAACAAAGAUAUAUAUUAUUCUAUGUUGUAUAAACAAAUUGGCAAAAUAGAGAUGGAAGAUAAAAAUAUGGUCAAAGUAAUAAGAGUCUAUGGUGAAUGCCUAGGAU